GCCGGGCGCGGUGGCGCGCGCCUGUAGUCCUAGCUACUCGGGAGGCUGAGGCAGGAGGAUCGCUUGAGUCCAGGAGUUCUGGGCUGCAGUGCGCUAUGCCGAUCGGGUGUCCGCACUAAGUUCGGCAUCAAUAUGGUGACCUCCUGGGAGCGGGGGACCACCAGGUUGCCUAAGGAGGGGUGAACCCGCCCAGGUCAAAACUCCCGUGCUGAUCAAGAAGAAGGAUAGGAAGCAGGAGGGGAGAAGGGGAGAA
rnacentral:sRNA from 1 species